CUGUAUUUCAUUGAUCCUGAUGAUGAUGCAGACAGAAGGUCUAUCCUGAACAAAUCAUCUACUGCCACAGAUAUUCUCCUUUACAUCCACCCAGUCAUGCACAAAGCAGGUAAUACAGGUGUAAACAGCCAUCUGUGACUGAAGGGAUGAUGAAAGCGGGUUUAAAGGGGUUUAUCCUGAAAGCAUCUGGUCCUGCUGCAGUGUCUGUAAUCAGAUUCACCUGUGAGACGCUCAUGGCCCGCAGAUGACAGGAAGGCCUUACGACUGGAAUGUCGUCUCCUCCAGAGAGGAAAUUAAUUUCUUCUGAUUUUUCGAAAGCGAUGGCCACCGCUUGG